rnacentral:rRNA from 1 species
GCAGUCGCCACGGUAAUACCAGCACCUCGAGUGGUCAGGAGGUUUAUUGGGCCUAAAGCAUCCGUAGCCGGUUGCAUAAGUUUUCGGUUAAAUCUAUGCGCUUAACGUAUAGGCCGCCGAAAAUACUGUGCAGCUAGGGAGUGGGAGAGGUACACGGUACUCGAUAGGAAGGGGUAAAAUCCUUUGAUCUAUUGAUGACCACCUGUGGCGAAGGCGGUGUACCAGAACACGUUCGACGGUGAGGGAUGAAAGCUGGGGGAGCAAACCGGAUUAGAUACCCCCGUAGUCCCUGUCUCUUAUAC